rnacentral:rRNA from 1 species
CUAAGCGUACACGGUGGAUGCCCUGGCAGUCAGAGGCGAUGAAGGACGUGCUAAUCUGCGAUAAGCGCCGGUAAGGUGAUAUGAACCGUUAUAACCGGCGAUUUCCGAAUGGGGAAACCCAGUGUGACUCGUCACACUAUCAUUAACUGAAUCCAUAGGUUAAUGAGGCGAACCGGGGGAACUGAAACAUCUAAGUACCCCGAGGAAAAGAAAUCAACCGAGAUUCCCCCAGUAGCGGCGAGCGAACGGGGAGGAGCCCAGAGCCUGAAUCAGCAUGUGUGUUAGUGGAAGCGUCUGGAAAGGCGCGCGAUACAGGGUGACAGCCCCGUACACAAAAGCGCAUGUGCUGUGAGCUCGAUGAGUAGGGCGGGACACGUGGUAUCCUGUCUGAAUAUGGGGGGACCAUCCUCCAAGGCUAAAUACUCCUGACUGACCGAUAGUGAACCAGUACCGUGAGGGAAAGGCGAAAAGAACCC